rnacentral:rRNA from 1 species
CCUACGGGAGGCAGCAGUGAGGAAUAUUGGUCAAUGGGCGCGAGCCUGAACCAGCCAAGUCGCGUGAGGGAUGAAGGUUCUAUGGAUCGUAAACCUCUUUUAUAAGGGAAUAAAGUGUGGGACGUGUCCUAUUUUGUAUGUACCUUAUGAAUAAGGAUCGGCUAACUCCGUGCCAGCAGCCGCGGUAAUACGGAGGAUGCGAGCGUUAUCCGGAUUUAUUGGGUUUAAAGGGUGCGUAGGUGGCCUUUUAAGUCAGCUGUGAAAGUCUGUGGCUCAACCAUAGAAUUGCCGUUGAAACUGGGGAGUUUGAGUAUGUGUGAGGCAGGCGGAAUGCGUGGUGUAGCGGUGAAAUGCUUAGAUAUCACGCAGAACCCCGAUUGCGAAGGCAGCCUGCCAAGCCAUGACUGACGCUGAUGCACGAAAGCGUGGGGAUCAAACAGGAUUAGAUACCCCUGGUAGUC